rnacentral:rRNA from 1 species
GUCCACGCCGUAAACGAUGGAUGCUAGCCGUUGGCAGGCUUGCCUGUCAGUGGCGCAGCUAACGCAUUAAGCAUCCCGCCUGGGGAGUACGGUCGCAAGAUUAAAACUCAAAGGAAUUGACGGGGGCCCGCACAAGCGGUGGAGCAUGUGGUUCAAUUCGAAGCAACGCGCAGAACCUUACCAACCUUUGACAUGUCCCGUAUGGGUACCAGAGAUGGAACCCUUCAGUUCGGCUGGCGGGAACACAGGUGCUGCAUGGCUGUCGU